AACGAACGCUGGCGGCAUGCCUAACACAUGCAAGUCGAACGAGACCUUCGGGUCUAGUGGCGCACGGGUGCGUAACGCGUGGGAAUCUGCCCUGGGGUGCGGAAUAACUCGGAGAAAUCCGUGCUAAUACCGCAUAAUGUCUUCGGACCAAAGAUUUAUCGCCCUGGGAUGAGCCCGCGUAGGAUUAGCUAGUUGGUGGGGUAAAGCCUACCAAGGCGACGAUCCUUAGCUGGUCUGAGAGGAUGAUCAGCCACACUGGGACUGAGACACGGCCCAGACUCCUACGGGAGGCAGCAGUGGGGAAUAUUGGACAAUGGCGAAGCCUGAUCCAGCAAUGCCGCGUGAGUGAUGAAGGCCCUAGGGUUGUAAAGCUCUUUUACCCGGGGAUGAUAAUGACAGUACCGGGAGAUAAGCUCCGGCUAACUCCGUGCCAGCAG
rnacentral:rRNA from 1 species